GAAACCCCAAAGCCCUCCCCCUCAGUGACACACUUCCUCCAAUAAGACACAUCUACUCCAACAAGGCCACACCUCCUAAUCCCUUUUGUCUGUACAUGAACACACAUUUUUGUGUGCACAAAAACAGGCUGUGGGCUAACCCAGCGGGCACACUUUCAAUCACUGACCAGCCCGUUAGCUAAUAUUCUGGAGAGCCACUGACUUUUGUUUCUCUUCACCAGCUGUAUGCAAAGGUUUGACUGCGAGUCCUGUCACAGCCCACCUCCCUCCGGAGGCUCACAUGUUCAAAGCCUGGUCCCCAUCUGGAGGCGCUGUUGGGAGGUGACUGGACCAUGAGGACACUAAUCUUAACCAGCUCCUGAUGUUCUGCCCCAGGACAGAAAUCCGUGAACCUUUCAGAUGAAGCAAACCUUCCCUCCCUACAGGUGAAGAAGUCGAAGCCUGGAAGAUUGAAACCCUUACCCGGGGUCAUCUAGACGGAGCAGGGCAGCAUAGCACCAGGGCUUGGAGGCUUUCUGCUAUGGCGGUGGCUGACUGCUCUGUGGUGCCAUUUCCUGAGCCAGGAAUGGAGUCACGUGACCACGUCGGUAAACACCAUGGCCGACACCCGUUCUAGAGGAUCUUGGUCAGCAGCAGGAGCAUCACAUCCUCCACAGCACAGAAGAUGACUGCCAUCAUGUCCUGAGGCUCAGAAGCGGCACGUAGAUGCUGAGUGAGACAUCUUUGUGUCUGUAUGGGAGAGUGGCUGGACCGCUGUGAGUCACGUGAUGUCAAGGACCAUCUUCUCCAUCUGUGAGUCACGUGAUGUCAAGGAACCGUCUUUUCCAUCUUCUCUCUCUCAGUACCCGGUAAGUGACUGCAAAGAAAUGGCUGCUGCUCGGGGUAGGUUAUUUAUUUACCAAUAGAUAAAGGGGAGUGAGGGUCAGUGAUGCUUAGAGCCUCCUCCUUCAGUUCUAACCGGAAGUCUAGGAAAAUGGUCAAAGUAAACUACUCUCACGGUAACCAUGAAAGUUGGCAAAACCAAGGGAAAAACAAGCAAAAGAGGGUGGUAAGUGUACCCACACAACACUCAGAAACACUAAGGAAUGGAACUUCCUUAUUUAUCUUAAAGCAGAUUGGUCUUAGCAGGUCCCACCUACUAGACGAAAUGGGGAAAUGUGUUUCAGCCUGUUUCAGUAACUUGUCCAAGACAGGAAGACAACCAAUCCCUGUGUGCCUCCAUUUAGUGAACUGACUCUCCUAGCUUCUCCCUUGCUGCCCAGCCUAUCUGUAAACCGGACAAUCUAGGGAGAGACCACGUGCCCUCAGGAUAUUGUUGGGCUGCUUGACUACCUUGUCCUUGCCCUGGAUCAGCGAUAUGUAUGGGCUGGUGAUGGUUGACACACUGGCUCUGGCCCUGGUGUUCUGGUGUCCACAGCUGACCUUAGCAGUCACGUUAACCUGUAGCCUAGUUUUGUUUCUCUUGGUCAGAGCCUGAGGGCUGCUCUCCAGCUGGCUCCACCUCAGUUUGGCAUUGACUGACCCACUGCGCUCCACGGACACAUUGUCUACCAGGCAAGGAGGUCACUUUGUCCCCACCCAGCAGGUCUAUGGAAGUCUAGUUGUUCUUAAUUGCAAUCUUAGGAGCUAAGGGAGGCUCAGGAGUGGAUAGCAUGACCCCCUGACCACGGAACUUCCUCCAAAUGGCCUUGAUGAGGAGGCUGGACGUCCACUCUUUCAUUCCGAGGGAGGACAAAUCCGUCUUGAAAAAGGCAGAGGAGGAUCGCUCACACUCACGAGGCAGAGGCAGGCGGAUCUCUGAGUUCCAGUGAAACCUGGGAGAGGCUGGGGUUGGCCGAAGAAAGGGCAAGUUUCAGCUCUUCUCUCCUUGACCUUUGCCCUCCCUGGAACUUGAAUUGGGGUCGAAGGCUUGAGUGCAGCCUUAAGUGUAGAGGGUGGAAUUUCACACGCUUACCGGUUUCCAUGGCACACGUGAGUAUUUCUGCCUCUGGCGCCGUGGCUUUAGCGUCUAUUAAUACCUCAGCGCUCAUCCCUUCAAAGAGCGGGUAGUCCAGCAGCAGCUACCAUUCCGUACACUCCCCGAAACCCACAUUCCAAGGGCCUAAUCACCGCCUCUCACGCUUUCCAGAUCUCGUCUCUUCUUUGGCAUUAGAUCAUUUUCCAAAAUAGAUCUUUUCCUCCUCCUUCCCCCCGGCUGCCUUUUCUAGGGUUUUCCUAAAUGCCUUCCUGCCAGCAGAUCCUUUUCUUCGGCGUGCUCCCAUUCGUUCUAAUUAUAAACUAGCACGCAUGGUGGCAUGUGUUACCUUCCCUCGGCUGGGUUCCAGAGAGCACCGACAAGCAGAGAAAGAAAGGCUCUGUAAGAAAUUUAGCUUAGGACACGGCAAAUUGCCGUUGCUGCUGCAGUAUUUAAAGGAAUACAGAACACGGGAGUUUGACGUCGAGCUGAGCAGGCCUCCCUGGGUUUCCACCUCUCGAUAAACAGGAAGCUUCGUUGGACAAGUAAUGCUCUGGUGGUGUUUGUAAUCUCACCUCUAGUCCUUGCAGUGGGGGCGGGAGCGGAUUAAAUGACAUCUCUUCCAAUUCUAGGUAAUACCCGACAGCGCUUCAGGGGCUCAAGGAACUAAAUCAACGUCAGCUUCUGAUGGUCCUGCCUGGGGUCCGUCCUGGAGCUUUCCCAGGAGCUUGCUCGUUCAAGACUUCAAUGUAGUCUCUGCUCG